AUUGACCUCGGAUCAGGUAGGAAUACCCGCUGAACUUAAGCAUAUCAAUAAGCGGAGGAAAAGAAACCAACAGGGAUUGCCCUAGUAACGGCGAGUGAAGCGGCAACAGCUCAAAUUUGAAAUCUGGCUUCGGUCCGAGUUGUAAUUUGCAGAGGAUGUUUAUGGUGCGGUACCUUCCGAGUUCCCUGGAACGGGACGCCACAGAGGGUGAGAGCCCCGUCUGGUUGGAUACCAAACCUGUGUUAAACUCCUUCAACGAGUCGAGUAGUUUGGGAAUGCUGCUCUAAAUGGGAGGUAAAUCUCUUCUAAAGCUAAAUACCGG
rnacentral:rRNA from 1 species